rnacentral:rRNA from 1 species
UACGGAGGGGGCUAGCGUUGUUCGGAAUUACUGGGCGUAAAGCGCGCGUAGGCGGACCUGCAAGUCGGGGGUGAAAUCCCUCGGCUUAACCGAGGAACUGCGUCCGAUACUGAAAGGCUUGAAUCCGGGAGAGGGAUGUGGAAUUCCAGGUGUAGCGGUGAAAUGCGUAGAUAUCUGGAGGAACACCGGUGGCGAAGGCGGCAUCCUGGACCGGUAUUGACGCUGAGGCGCGAAAGCUAGGGGAGCAAACGGG